UGCAGAAUCCCGUGAACCAUCGAGUCUUUGAACGCAAGUUGCGCCCGAAGCCAUCAGGUUGAGGGCACGUCUGCCUGGGCGUCACAUAUCGUUGCCCGAUGCCUAUUGCAGUGCGAUAGGAAUUUCUAGGGCGAAUGAUGGCUUCCCGUGAGCAUUGUUGCCUCGCGGUUGGUUGAAAAUUGAGUCCUUGGUAGGGUGUGCCAUGAUAGAUGGUGGUCGAGUUUGCACGAGGCCGAUCAUGUGCAUGCCCCCCCCAAAAUAUGGCCUCUAUGACCCACACGCGUCUUUUGGCGCUCAUGACGAGACCUCAGGUCAGGCGGGGCUACCCGCUGAAUUUAAGCAUAUCAA
rnacentral:misc_RNA from 1 species